AUUUUCUCUAAAUCCCUCUUCUGUUUGCUAAAUCUCACUGUCACUGCUAAAAUCAGAGCAGAUCGAGCCUGCGCAAUGGAAUAAAUGUCCUCAAUAUUGAAAUGUAAAUUGCUCUCAACAUCUCACCUCUCUCUGGAUUUCUUUUUUUUUCUUCUUUUUUUCCCCUUCAUUCUUUCUGCUAACCAAUUCAUUUCCAGAGUUUGCACUUAAGAAGCAAUGGGAAAAAUCAACAGUCUUUCAACACAAUUAUUUAAGUGCUGCUUUUGUGAUUUCUUGAAGGUCAAGAUGCUCACAGUGUCCUAUGUUCAUCUCUUCUACUUUGGCCUGUGCUUUCUCAUUUUGACCAGUUCGUCUCCUGCUGCUGGCCAAGAGACACUUUGUGGUGCUGAAUUGGUAGAUGCUCUUCAGUUUGUCUGCGGAGAAAGAGGCUUCUAUUUUAGCAAACCUGCUGGAUAUGGAGGCAAUCGGCGUUCAAUUGCUGCUAGAGGAAUAGUGGAUGAAUGUUGCUUUCAAAGCUGUGACCUGACACGACUGGAGAUGUACUGCGCUCCUGUUAAACCACCUAAAUCCGCACGGUCUGUACGUGCGCAGCGCCACACUGACAUGCCCAAAGCACAAAAGAAUUUCGCACAACAAAAAACCCGUGGGCAGUAUGUAUCAGUAUCUAUGGGAAAAAGCAGGAGGGUUAACACAAAGGACAGAAAGAGAAACUUAAUAAACCAGAAGAAGACAUCAAUCAAGGGAACAGCUGUCAGGAAAUAGGAUAUUUGAAGAUGGAAGAGUUCCAGGCCUCAGAUGGUGUGGGAAACAUCUGGAAAUGCAUUUGAAGAACGCAAGUAGAGGAAACACAGGAAACAGGAACCUCAGAAUCCCAAUCCCCAAAGUACUCCGCCGGCAAAAAACCCAUUGAGGACAGGAGCCUUAAGCACGAAACUUGCCUGCACCAAACAUACGCACAGGCAAGUUUCCUUAUACUGUACAGUAAAUGAGAACAUAUUUUACUUUGAGACAUGACAGAGUGACUCUGAUGCAUUUGUAACCAACUCCAGUGAUGACAAAUCAGUUCUGACCCAAGGAGAGUAACGAAGCACCUGAAGCAAAUUAUACAAAUUUCUACUAUCAGCUGGCUCAGCCCAAGGCCUUUUUAUGUCCAUCCUACCUGGACUAAACUAACAGGACUAAGAGCUGAUGGACAUAAAGAUGAGUGACCCUAUACAAUUAUGUAAUUUUAUAAGUUCAGUAUAUAAAAGUUCUUCAUUACUUUGUUAGCUAUUAAACUGUUAAUAUGUUAAGACUGAUAUUCAUUUGUUUUCCAGAAGGUCAUUCUUUCAUACUCACUGAGCUAGGUUUUAUAAUCCACCCAGUUGCAUUAGGAGCAUGAUUAAUGUCAUGGAUUUAAAAGUAUAACUGUGUGUACAGGUAAUAUGCUUGAAUUCCUAAAUAUUACAAUAAAGAAAGCUAUUGGUUCCAUAAUAGAUACAUUUUUAAAAUCCACAAUGAAGUGGAGUAUUAUUUGCUUACAGUCAACCACAUCAGCUUUGUUUUGCCAUCAUCCUCAAAGCAUUUUGGUGGCCCAAGUACUGCUGAAGUGAAUGGGCAAUACACCAGCACAAAGCUUUGUAGAUUGGGCUGUAAAUGUUUGGAUAUGCGCAGUUUCCAUUUUCCCCUCUGUUCAUUCAAAAUGUAAACUGUCAUGAUUUGAUGACAAGUAAAUAAUAUUUCAUACUAUGUAUGUAACAUUGGUGUGUUGCAGUACUCCCUAUCCCAUACCUACUACAGAUUUAUUAGUAACAUCCCAUUAUUCUCUCCAUGUUGACUUUCCAUGCACACACAGGAGGUUCAAACAAUGAAGAUUUUAAUCCUUAUUAAAAAAAACGACUGGAUCAUAAGUCACUAAGAACCAUUCAAUCCAUGUUCCAUCCACACUUCAUGUGAAUUGUAAAACUGGUUAAGCAUUGCUCCAUAAAGAAAUAGUGUAAAGCUUUGUUUUAAGUGGUUCAUUUUAUACAUUUAUCAUGGUAUGUCUGAAUGAUUUUUCAAGAGCUAGCUGUUUGAUUUCCAUUGCUUAUAUGUUUGUUUUUCUAAAUCUUCACUGAUUACAGUAAAAAGGAAAAGGAGCGCUUGGUCACACUGUAUUAAAUAAAGGCUACAGCAACCUCUGGUUUGUAGAAUGUACUGAAAUGUUUGCAGCCCUCCUUGAAUCCAGUCCAAAAUGUGAAAUAUUACUGUAAGAGGGUAUCUUUCUAAUGUAUUUGUAUGUAUAGUUUACACCUCUGUGAGGUCUAAUAAAGAACAAUGGUUAAUAAAUGUCAGCAUCUUUUGAUCUUCCAAA